GGGGAUGACAGGCUUUCGACAGCGUGAUUUCUAGGGUUUGUCGCUUCGAUCCGGGAUCGCGAUGUUUCCCGUACCCACCGUCGCACCUAUAGCUGCCAACACAGCUCAAUCUGCAUUCCGCAAUGCUGCUCUCGCAGGUCAGAGACUCGUCUCUGGCUUCGGAGUAGCUGUGGCUGCAUAAGUUCCCCUUUACCGGGAACACGUCUCGCCCUCGAUCCUCGCUGAAGGGAUGAGGCGUCACUAGCGAGGGGACGGUGCCGCGUGACGCGACGGCACCCCCUACAUUCGCGUCAACUCUCCCGCAGUUUCUCUGCUCCUCUCUUACCUGCGGGAGAAACGAGAGGUUCACGAUCGUACGAGCACACUUCCUACACGUUGGACCCGGGUUCGAUUCCCGGCAUCUCCACCA
rnacentral:tmRNA from 1 species